GACUGUAGAUGAGUACAGAGAAAAUUUGCAUUUCUUUUCGUUUCUAUAUCACAUUCAUAUGUUAUAUAAAGGGUUUUACAAUAAGGACGGGUAUACGUCAAACAAUCUAUUGAGAAAUUAAUAUUCAAUUUUCAAAAAUCAAAAUGGCGG